rnacentral:lncRNA from 1 species
GUGUCCUCAAAAUGCUGUCUCUCUGAAGGGGCAGGCCCCUCAUUUCAACCCAUCUGCACCUGUGCAGAUCUAUCAGUCCUUCAGAACCCAGUCAAAUGACAUCUUCUGUCAUGAAGCAUUCUUUGAUACCCAGGUGUUCUUUCUCCUCUGCGAUCUUGAAGCACUUUGAGUUUGUGUAGGACCGUGACUGGAUGUCCCUCCUGCCUGCUGGACUGAGGAAGACCAGGUACUUAUAGAGACACUGACCUGGGAUCCACUCCUACUUGAUGCUUGGUAAGGGCCACAUUGGGAAGGAAGGAGGACA